rnacentral:rRNA from 1 species
GAUGAACGCUGACAGAAUGCUUAACACAUGCAAGUCUACUUGACCCUUCGGGUGAUGGUGGCGGACGGGUGAGUAACGCGUAAAGAACUUGCCCUGCAGUCUGGGACAACAUUUGGAAACGAAUGCUAAUACCGGAUAUUAUGUGAGUUUCGCAUGAAAUUCAUAUGAAAGCUAUAUGCGCCGCAGGAGAGCUUUGCGUCCUAUUGGCUAGUUGGUGAGGUAACGGCUCGCCAAGGCGAUGAUAGGUAGCCGGCCUGGGAGGGUGAACGGCCACAAGGGGACUGAGACACGGCCCUUACUCCUACGGGAGGCAGCAGUGGGGAAUAUUGGACAAUGGACCAAAAGUCUGAUCCAGCAAUUCUGUGUGCACGAUGAAGUUUUUCGGAAUGUAAAGUGCUUUCAGUUGGGACGAAGUAAGUGACGGUACCAACAGAAGAAGCGACGGCUAAAUACGUGCCAGCCGCCGCCGUAA